AUGCUAGGGAUGGACCAGAUGUUGAUAAGGAACUGUGAAGGAAAGAGUGGUGGACUAGCCCUACUGUCGAAGAAAGAAGUGAAAGUUGAGCUCCAAAAAUUUUCAAGGCUGCAUAUAGAUGUGGUAAUAAACGAAAAGGAUGGUUUCAAAUGGCGGUUCACAGGAAUUUACGGUGAACCUUCAAGUCAUAAAAAGCACACAACCUGGAGACUCUUAACUAUUCUUAACCAGCAGAUGAAUCUUCCUUGGUUAUGUGCUGGAGACUUUAAUGAGAUCAUGUACAACCAUGAAAAGAGAGGAGGUCCUGGCAGGUCACAAAGAGCAAUGGAGUGUUUCAGGCUGGUACUCGCUGAAUGUGGGCUGCGAGACUUGGGUUAUUCAGGUGAUAAAUUUACAUGGCGCGACCACAACCAUAUAGCAAGUCGAUACAUAAAAGAAAGGUUGGACAGGGCAACAGGGAAUCGUAGCUGGUGCAAUGGAUUCCCAAACUACAAAGUCGUAAAUGAGGAUCCGAGACAUUCAGAUCGCCGUCCUGUAACUAUAUUGAUGGAGAGUACAAAUCAUAGACACAAUACAGGAGGGUAUGCCAAAGCUUUUAGAUUUGAAGCCAAAUGGUUGCAAGAGGAGGAUUGCGAGGCAGUCGUGAACAAUGCAUGGGCUAUUGCUGCAGCGCGGGGAGUAAAUAAAGCAGCUGACAAGUUGCAUGCAGUAGCUUGUGAUCUAAAAGAGUGG
rnacentral:rRNA from 1 species